UGAGGAAUAUUGGUCAAUGGGCGCAAGCCUGAACCAGCCAUCCCGCGUGAAGGAAGAAGGCGCUAUGCGUUGUAAACUUCUUUUCCAGGGGGAGAAUUUUUCCGUCGUGACGGGAAUUGACGGUACUCUGGGAAUAAGCAUCGGCUAACUCCGUGCCAGCAGCCGCGGUAAUACGGAGGAUGCGAGCGUUAUCCGGAUUUAUUGGGUUUAAAGGGUGCGUAGGCGGAUUGAUAAGUCAGUGGUGAAAGGCUGCAGCUUAACUGUAGACUUGCCGUUGAUACUGUCAGUCUUGAGUAUGGUCAAGGCAGGCGGAAUGUGUAAUGUAGCGGUGAAAUGCUUAGAUAUUACACAGAACACCGAUUGCGAAGGCAGCUUGCUGGGGCAUCACUGACGCUCAGGCACGAAAGCGUGGGGA
rnacentral:rRNA from 1 species